rnacentral:rRNA from 1 species
UACGUAGGGUGCGAGCGUUGUCCGGAAUUAUUGGGCGUAAAGAGCUCGUAGGUGGUUUGUCGCGUUGUUCGUGAAAACUCACAACUCAAUUGUGGGCGUGCGGGCGAUACGGGCAUCACUGGAGUUCGGCAGGGGAGACUGGAAUUCCUGGUGUAGCGGUGAAAUGCGCAGAUAUCAGGAGGAACACCGGUGGCGAAGGCGGGUCUCUGGGCCGAUACUGACGCUGAGGAGCGAAAGCGUGGGGAGCGAACAGG